CCAACACCCACCCUCACACCUCCCCUACUUUCCCUUCUUCUCUCUCUCCCCUCCCCCGAACCUCUCCCUUUCCACCACUUCCUCCCCCCACACAUACUACCCCCUCCACCACAAACCCCCAGAUCCCCCCAUUCGACUAAAGAGCCCAAAAUGAGGACCUCAGGAUGCCCUCACAAUCCCAGCAGAACCCACCCUCAGGACCAGGGGACAAGGGAGGCGUUUGACCCGCCCACAUCACAUGCCUAUCCAUUAACUGCAAAGGGCUUAACAGCCCGGCCAAAAGACAUCGCCUUCUCCGGUGGGCCAACUGCUCCAAAGCUGAC